rnacentral:pre_miRNA from 11 species
CCACCUCCCCUGCAAACGUCCAGUGACGCAGAGGUAAUGGACGUUGGCUCUGGUGGUGAUG